rnacentral:rRNA from 16 species
UGCGUAACAGCUCACUAGUCGAGGGACCGGGCAUGGAUAAUAAUCGGGUAUAAGCGGCCCGCCGAAGACACGGGACCCUUAAGGGUCGGUAGGGGAGCAUUCCAGGAGCGUUGAAGGUGUCCCGUGAGGGAUGCUGGAGCAUCUGGAAAAGCAAAUGCAGGUAUAAGUAACGAUAAGGGGGGCGGGAAACCCCCCCGCCGCAAGACCAAGGUUUCCUGAUCAACGCUAAUCGGAUCAGGGUAAGUCGGGUCCUAAGGUCCAGCGCAUGGCGAAGCCGAUGGACAGCCGGUCAAUAUUCCGGCACCGCCUUGGGGUGUGACGCGGGGACGCGGUCGUGACACUGCGGCCGACUGACGGAAUAGUCGGUUUAAGGGUGUAGGGGUUGAUUCCCUCAGGCAAAUCCGUGGGAAGACCCGAACCUGAAAGUACGGUGCGCCCAUCCGGGCAAUCCGAUCGCAGGUAAUCUUACCGCCGAGAAAAUCCGCUAAACUCCAGCCCCAUGGCGCCCGUACCGUAAACGGACACACGUGGUCGGGUUGAAUAUACUGAGGCGCUUGGGUGAAUCACG